rnacentral:misc_RNA from 1 species
CGCGCCCCAGCACGUCCG